UUGUCGCUUUUUAAAUUGCCCAAAAAUGUUCUUUCUAUUAAUUUGUUUUUUUCUUGUUUUUUGUUUGUAGAUACAUAACCCUAUAGCAAAUUAUUGUGUGAAAUGACAGCUUAUUUAAAGCAUCUGUGAUUAACUGGGCCUAAGUUUACCGAUUUUCCCUUUUAGGGUGACCUUUGACCUUAUAAUAGCUUAUAGUCUGUUCUAUGUAUUUUAGCUGUAGUCAGAACAGAAUGUAAUUGAGAUAAAAUGAAUUUUCAAAAUAAACUGUUGCAAAUUGUAGGAAAAGAAUAACAUAAUAUAUUUAUAAUUAUAAGUUAUUGAAAUAUUAUAAUUACCUCAUUUCAGACAGAAGUACAAGCAAACAGAUGACACAUUAAAGUGGCUGCAGAAGCUUGAAAAGUUAGAUACAGCAGGGACAGUCAAAACUGUGGGAUAAUACUUCUAUGGUGUCCAACAUGUCUAGUUAGGUUGACAGAAGUGAAAGAUGGUCUGAUGGUACAAUGAUGUACAAAUGAUACUCUUUAACAAGUUUAACAUGUCAAAGUGUAAAAUGUUCUGUGGAUUCAUAUGAUGAGAAUGCCAAUGUUGAUCUGUAUGACUUAAUUAAA
rnacentral:lncRNA from 1 species